rnacentral:rRNA from 1 species
CUCGAACUAUCAUGAGAGGUACAGCCUGCCCAGUGACCCAAUGUUCAACGGCCGCGGUAUCCUAACCGUGCGAAGGUAGCGUAAUCACUUGUUCUUUAAAUGAGGACUAGUAUGAAUGGCAUCACGAGGGUUAUACUGUCUCCUUUUUCCAAUCAGUGAAACUAAUCUCCUCGUGAAGAAGCGAGGAUUAUUUUAUAAGACGAGAAGACCCUAUGGAGCUUUAAACUAACCAGCAUUUGCUAUAUUGUAUAAUUUUUCAGAAAUAUAAAAAACAGCUUAGCUCUUUGACUAUAAGUUUUCGAUUGGGGUGAUCACGGAACAAAAAAUAACUUCCGUGCCGAAAGGACUAUUCCUGAGCCAAAAGUGACAACCUUAAGCACUAAAAAAUUAACGCUUAUUGACCCAACAAUUUGAUCAACGAAC